GCAGCAGCCGCGGGAAUACGGAGGAUCCAAGCGUUAUCCGGAAUCAUUGGGUUUAAAGGGUCCGUAGGCGGUCUUGUAAGUCAGUGGUGAAAGCCCAUCGCUCAACGGUGGAACGGCCAUUGAUACUGCAGGACUUGAAUUAUUGGGAAGUAACUAGAAUAUGUAGUGUAGCGGUGAAAUGCUUAGAGAUUACAUGGAAUACCAAUUGCGAAGGCAGGUUACUACCAAUUGAUUGACGCUGAUGGACGAAAGCGUGGGUAGCGAACAGGAUUAGAGACCCCCGUAGUCCCUGUCUCUUAUAC
rnacentral:rRNA from 1 species